GAUGAACGCUGGCGGCGUGCCUAAUACAUGCAAGUCGAGCGAACGGACGAGAAGCUUGCUUCUCUGAUGUUAGCGGCGGACGGGUGAGUAACACGUGGAUAACCUACCUAUAAGACUGGGAUAACUUCGGGAAACCGGAGCUAAUACCGGAUAAUAUUUUGAACCGCAUGGUUCAAAAGUGAAAGACGGUCUUGCUGUCACUUAUAGAUGGAUCCGCGCUGCAUUAGCUAGUUGGUAAGGUAACGGCUUACCAAGGCAACGAUGCAUAGCCGACCUGAGAGGGUGAUCGGCCACACUGGAACUGAGACACGGUCCAGACUCCUACGGGAGGCAGCAGUAGGGAAUCUUCCGCAAUGGGCGAAAGCCUGACGGAGCAACGCCGCGUGAGUGAUGAAGGUCUUCGGAUCGUAAAACUCUGUUAUUAGGGAAGAACAUAUGUGUAAGUAACUGUGCACAUCUUGACGGUACCUAAUCAGAAAGCCACGGCUAACUACGUGCCAGCAGCCGCGGUAAUACGUAAGUGGCAAGCGUUAUCCGGAAUUAUUGGGCGUAAAGCGCGCGAGGCGGUUUUUUAGUCUGAUGUGAAAGCCCACGGCUCAACCGUGGAGGGUCAUUGGAAACUGGAAAACUUGAGUGCAGAAGAGGAAAGUGGAAUUCCAUGUGUAGCGGUGAAAUGCGCAGAGAUAUGGAGGAACACCAGUGGCGAAGGCGACUUUCUGGUCUGUAACUGACGCUGAUGUGCGAAAGCGUGGGGAUCAAACAGGAUUAGAUACCCUGGUAGUCCACGCCGUAAACGAUGAGUGCUAAGUGUUAGGGGGUUUCCGCCCCUUAGUGCUGCAGCUAACGCAUUAAGCACUCCGCCUGGGGAGUACGACCGCAAGGUUGAAACUCAAAGGAAUUGACGGGGACCCGCACAAGCGGUGGAGCAUGUGGUUUAAUUCGAAGCAACGCGAAGAACCUUACCAAAUCUUGACAUCCUUUGACAACUCUAGAGAUAGAGCUUUCCCCUUCGGGGGACAAAGUGACAGGUGGUGCAUGGUUGUCGUCAGCUCGUGUCGUGAGAUGUUGGGUUAAGUCCCGCAACGAGCGCAACCCUUAAGCUUAGUUGCCAUCAUUAAGUUGGGCACUCUAAGUUGACUGCCGGUGACAAACCGGAGGAAGGUGGGGAUGACGUCAAAUCAUCAUGCCCCUUAUGAUUUGGGCUACACACGUGCUACAAUGGACAAUACAAAGGGCAGCGAAACCGCGAGGUCAAGCAAAUCCCAUAAAGUUGUUCUCAGUUCGGAUUGUAGUCUGCAACUCGACUACAUGAAGCUGGAAUCGCUAGUAAUCGUAGAUCAGCAUGCUACGGUGAAUACGUUCCCGGGUCU
rnacentral:rRNA from 1 species